UGUAAACUAGGAUUAGAUACCCUAUUAUUUUGAGUGUUAAUGUUUUUGCCUGAGUAGUAUUAGUUGUGUUCUUGAAACUUAAAGAAUUUGGCGGUAUCCUAUUCCGUUCAGAGGAAUCUGUCUCGUUAUCGAUAGUCCGCGUUGGACCUUACUUAGAGUUAUAUUUUUGGUUUGUAUACCGCCGUUUAUUGAUUAUCUUUUUAGAGUUCCUUAAUUUUCUGGUUUCUUUAAUUUGAUUUAUUGCAGGUCAAGGUGCAGCUUUUUCUAAGUGUAAUGAUGGAUUACAGUGUUAUGUGUUGUUUGGAUUGUUUAUUUUAAUAUUGACAUGAAAUUGGAUUUGGUUGUAAUGUCUUGUAGAUAGUUUUCAUGAUAGUUGGUUCUAGGAUAUGUACACAACGCCGCGUCGCGUCUCAUUUUUCC
rnacentral:rRNA from 1 species